GACGAACGCUGGCGGCGGGCUUAACACAUGCAAGUCGAACGGAAAGGCGCUGCUUGUGUGUGGUUCUCGAGUGGCGAAGGGGUGAGUAACACGGGAGUAACCUUCCCUGUACUUGGUGAUGACUGGAGGAGACUGGUGCUAAUACCUACGUGGAGCGCCUGCUGCAGGGUGGGGGUUGGAAAGUUUCGGCGGUGGGGGGUGGAGUCGGGGCUUAUCAGCUGGUUGGUGGGGGAGUGGCUUACCAAGGCUUUGACGGGUAGCCGGCAUGAGAGGUUGACCGGGCACCAUGGUCCUGCGGGAGGGACCAGAGUGGAAUGGGGGGCAGUAGUGGGGAAUAUUGCACAGCGGGCGGGAGUGUGAUGAAGAAAUGCCGCGUGCGGGAAGACGGCCUUCGGGUUGUAAACCGCUUUAGGUUGUGACGAAGCGUGAGUGACGGUAAUGGGUAAAGAAGCACCGGCUAACUACGUG
rnacentral:rRNA from 1 species